AGAGUUUGAUCAUGGCUCAGGACGAACGCUGGCGGCGUGCUUGACACAUGCAAGUGGAGCGACGAACCAGGGCUUGCCCUGGGGCAGAGCCGCGAACGGGUGAGUAACACGUGGGUAACGUGCCCCAAUGAUCGGGACAACCCGGGGAAACCCGGGCUAAUACCGAAUGUGCUCCCCUCACACCAGUGAGGGAUGGAAAGGAAGCUUCGGCCUCCGCAUUGGGAUCGGCCCGCGGCCCAUUAGCUUGUUGGUGAGGUAACGGCUCACCAAGGCUGCGAUGGGUAGCUGGUCUGAGAGGACGAUCAGCCACACUGGGACUGAGACACGGCCCAGACUCCUACGGGAGGCAGCAGUGGGGAAUCUUGCGCAAUGCGCGAAAGCGUGACGCAGCAACGCCGCGUGGGGGAAGAAGGCCUUCGGGUUGUAAACCCCUUUCAGGAGGGACGAAGCGCGGGCGGUUAAUAGCCGACCCGUGUGACGGUACCUCCAGAAGAAGCCCCGGCUAACUACGUGCUAGCAGCCGCGGAAACAC
rnacentral:rRNA from 1 species